CAAUGCAAGUCGAGCGGAAAGGCCCUUCGGGGUACUCGAGCGGCGAACGGGUGAGUAACACGUGAGCAACCUGCCCCUGACUCUGGGAUAAGCCCGGGAAACUGGGUCUAAUACCGGAUACGACCGCCCCAGGCAUCUGGUGGUGGUGGAAAGUUUUUCGGUUGGGGAUGGGCUCGCGGCCUAUCAGCUUGUUGGUGGGGUAGUGGCCUACCAAGGCGACGACGGGUAGCCGGCCUGAGAGGGCGACCGGCCACACUGGGACUGAGACACGGCCCAGACUCCUACGGGAGGCAGCAGUGGGGAAUAUUGCGCAAUGGGCGAAAGCCUGACGCAGCGACGCCGCGUGGGGGAUGACGGCCUUCGGGUUGUAAACCUCUUUCAGCAGGGACGAAGUUGACGUGUACCUGCAGAAGAAGCGCCGGCUAACUACGUGCCAGCAGCCGCGGUAAUACGUAGGGCGCAAGCGUUGUCCGGAAUUAUUGGGCGUAAAGAGCUCGUAGGUGGCUGGUCGCGUCUGCCGUGAAAGCCCGCAGCUUAACUGCGGGUCUGCGGUGGAUACGGGCCGGCUAGAGGUAGGUAGGGGCAAGUGGAAUUCCUGGUGUAGCGGUGAAAUGCGCAGAUAUCAGGAGGAACACCGGUGGCGAAGGCGGCUUGCUGGGCCUUACCUGACGCUGAGGAGCGAAAGCGUGGGGAGCGAACAGGAUUAGAUACCCUGGUAGUCCACGCUGUAAACGUUGGGCGCUAGGUGUGGGGAUCUUCCACGAUCUCCGUGCCGGAGCUAACGCAUUAAGCGCCCCGCCUGGGGAGUACGGCCGCAAGGCUAAAACUCAAAGGAAUUGACGGGGGCCCGCACAAGCGGCGGAGCAUGUUGCUUAAUUCGACGCAACGCGAAGAACCUUACCAAGGUUUGACAUCACCCGGAAACGUGCAGAGAUGUGCGCCUCUUCGGACUGGGUGACAGGUGGUGCAUGG
rnacentral:rRNA from 1 species